UCAGUCUAUAGGAACCCAUGGGUUUCAUGU
rnacentral:piRNA from 1 species